AGUGAACGCUGGCGGUAUGCCUAACACAUGCAAGUCGAACGACAGCACAGUAAGAGCUUGCUCUUACGGGUGGCGAGUGGCGGACGGGUGAGGCAUACAUCAGCAUCUACUUUUUCGUGGGUGAUAACGUAGGGCAACUUACGCUAAUACCGCAUACGACCUACGGGUGAAAGCAGUGGAUCUUCGGACCUUGCGCGAUUCAAUGAGCCGAUGUCGGAUUAGCUAGUUGGCGGGGUAAAGGCCCACCAAGGCGACGAUGCGUAGCUGGUCUGAGAGGAUGAUCAGCCACACUGGAACUGAGACACGGUCCAGACUCCUACGGGAGGCAGCAGUGGGGAAUAUUGGACAAUGGGCGCAAGCCUGAUCCAGCCAUACCGCGUGGGUGAAGAAGGCCUUCGGGUUGUAAAGCCCUUUUGUUGGGAAAGAAAAGCAGCAGGUUAAUACCCCGCUGUUCUGACGGUACCCAAAGAAUAAGCACCGGCUAACUUCGUG
rnacentral:rRNA from 1 species